GUGGGGAAUAUUGCGCAAUGGCCGAAAGGUUGACGCAGCGACGCCGCGUGUGGGAGGAAGCCCUUCGGGGUGUAAACCACUGUCAGGGGGGAAGAACCCUGGAGGUAUGAAUAGUGCCUUCAGCUGACGGUACCCCCAGAGGAAGCGCCGGCUAACUCCGUGCCAGCAGCCGCGGUAAGACGGGGGGCGCAAGCGUUGUUCGGAAUUACUGGGCGUAAAGGGCGGGCAGGCGGUCUGUUCAGUCUUUUGUGAAAAUCCGGGGCUCAACCCCGCGAAAUGCAGAAGAUACUGGCAGACUAGAGACCGGUAGAGGCUAGCGGAAUUCCUGGUGUAGCGGUGGAAUGCGUAGAUAUCAGGAAGAACACCUGUGGCGAAGGCGGCUAGCUGGGCCGGAUCUGACGCUCAUCCGCGAAAGCGUGGGGAGCAAACAGG
rnacentral:rRNA from 1 species